CGGUGCUUGAGGAGGACUCAGACUGGUCCAUGGUAAAGUGCAAGAACAGAAUUGUGAUUAUACAGUUGAAAAUGACAUAUGUUAGGUGGCUGUAUAUAUUUGGGAAAUGUCUCUAUUUCUGUAGAUUAAGAAGGUGCGAGUGUUACAGUGGCGGAAAUGAGAGUUUUACUGUUGUAGAUUAAAUCAUCCAAUAUCUGUUGUCUAUUUGCUUCUCUUCUGAACUUCUUGGUUAGUUAUAGCAGUGGAAGGGAAGUAAAUGCAUUUUCUGUGAGUUGUAAUUUCAUAUAUGUUUGAAAGCAUGUCCAGAUCCCUACCAUUUUUGGUCAAAAAGUUUAUUUUUUUAAAUAAAUAAA
rnacentral:misc_RNA from 1 species